UGCAGGACUGAUACUGAGGCUGAAACUGUAUUUAGCUUGAUAGAAAUUGUGAUUCACGGGGUGAAAAACAGGAAAUAUGGACAAGAUGAGAAAUGAGUUAACAAACUGUUUGCAACAUGUUCCUCCUGGCAGCGCUGCUUCCAUUGGGAUAUUCAUCCUGAUAAUUUUCAUCUCUUUUUACUACAGUUACCUGACGUGCAGCUGCGAUGGCCGAACUUUUCGAUGCAAUGAAUUCAUGGCUGUCCCAUUUUUCAUCGUGUUCUUCCUCAUACUCCUGAUAGACCGGACGUUUCGGAGAACAGCGAAACACGCUGCGAUCCUUUCAGGUGUUGUAGUCAAGCGCGUCAUCAGAGCGAUUUUAUUUGGUCUGCUGUGGGUUGUGGCUGUGCUAAUUCAUGGAGACUGGUACUUCUGCUGUAAGAUUGACCAAAAACACAUCACGCUGCCCUGCAAAACUAAUCUCACAACUGAAGAAGCAGCCACAAAAGCUGAAACCAUAAACACAUCGAAGAUUACUGGUUACACUUUGUUGCUGGGUAUAAUUGUAGCAGCUUUGUUAACAUCAUGGAGUGGAUGGAGACAAGUCUGUGAGAAAAAGCUGGGCUUGUACAGCAGGAAAACUCUGUAUUACCAAGUGGUUUUGGAAGAGGAGGAAAAAAUUCUGGAGGAGCUUUUGAGGAGAGCCGUAAAUGAGAACUUGACCAAAGAAAUUAUGAACAACAUAAAUAGGAAAGACUGGGACGGCUGUUUAUAUGCUGCAGAAGAGAUGAUUAACGAGGCCAAACAACAGAAACCAAGAGCAACAAAGGAGUACAUCAGGUGGACCAGCGUGGAGAGCGCCACAGGAGGGGAACAGGCUGAACAAAGAGCAGCACAUCAGCAGGCACAAAGUCUUGAACUUCAGUCAGUGUGAGAAGGAGUCCAGGAAUGACCGACCCUGUCUGGGCCUCCAGCUUUUUUCAGAGAUCAAAGACGCUGCACCGUUAUUCAGCAAACCGCCUGAGAAGUACAUCAAAUGAUGCAGCGACAGAAGCAAAGCAAGGAAAAUUGUCCCCAUCCAUCCAUCCAUCCAUCCAUCCA